UCUCUCUCUCUUUCUAAUUUACGCUUCUCUCUCUCUCUUUCUAAUUUACCCUUCUCUCUUUAUCUCCAACAUCAACGAUGCUCUAUCUCCCUCUUUAUCAGUAAGCUAUUCAUCAAAUUCUUUCUUCUUGAACAGUUAUGGAACAAGCUAAUGAAAAUUCAAGAUUGACUUGGAGAUUGGAGGUAGUAAAAACAUUUCUAGAAACUUGUAUUCAAGAAGUGUCAUUGAAUGGGAGACAAAGAAGUAGUUUGAAGCCAGAUUCAUGGAACAAGGUUAAGGUUGUUCUGCAAACUUCUCAUGACUUUAUAGUCACACAAAAUAAGAUGAAGAACCAUUAUGAUUAUUUAAAAGAAAAAUAUCAAGCUUGGUUGCCAAUAACUAAAAAGACUGGUAAUAUUUAUGAUCCAGCAACCAAUACCAUUCGAAUGUCUAACGAGGAGUGGGAUGAGUACAUAAAGGCUCAUCCAAAAGCCAAGACAUUGAGGAGUGCACCUCUACCCUUUCCGGAACUUUGUACAACAUUAUUUGAGGGUUCUACUGCAACAGGCAUUCAUGGUUGGAGUCCAAGUUGUACAACUCCGCAGCCCGGUGCCUCUUCUGUAGCUACUAAUAUAGACAUAGAUUCACUUGAUGACAUUGAGGAUCUACUUGGUGACAAAAAUGAUGGAGCUUCUAAAGAUUUUCCAUCUCAAUCUUCAAUUCCAAUUGAAAAAAAUAAUCUGGGAAAGAAAAGAAAAAACGCAUCGUCCCGAUUAGAAAUUGAUGAGAAGAUGAGUGCUGCAUUGGAGUUACUGAUGAACAAAAACAACGGGCCUGAUGUUGAAGAAUGUAUAGAAAAACUAGACAAGCUUGGAUGGGAAGAGCCAUUGUACUCUACAACUCUUAGUAUAUUUUGUGAAGGUGAUAGCUACACAAAAACAUGGAUGAAACUAAGAGGGGUCGACAAAUUAGAGAUUUAUGUCAAAACCAUGGGGAAAAAAUUGGGAAUUCUUUAAUUUUUCUAAUUAGCUAGUAUCUAUGCUAGAUGAAGAUUUUAUGGAAUCUAGUCUUUAUUUUUUUUUUUUUUUUUAAUUAUAACCUCUGGAACUUUGUGGUAAUAUAUUAUGCUUAUGGAACGUAUUUUAUUGGUGAAAAAUGCUACUUGUAUGUCUUGUUAUGCUUGAUGCGUAUAGAAUAAUUUUUUAUAACCAUUGUAUACUUUUUUAUCUUGAUGAAAUACAUAGGUAGUUGUGCUUACGAUUGUGUAUUGUAUCUUUUUUUCUUGGUAAAACAGAUUCAACAUGGAUAUCGAUGAUCAAAUAUUAUGGUUGAUGAGCUUGUAUUGGCAAAGAAAUCGUUAUAGACUCAAGUAUGAUAGAAGAAUUAGAGAUUUAACAUCAUCUUUAUCUGGUCAAAAGUAUACAUUAGAACUAUUAUCUGGCUCUAAUCGACAAUGUAUAGAAUUGAUGCGCAUGUCACGUGAUGCAUAUGUUCGGCUAUGUCAACAUUUUAGACAUAAUGGAUGGCUCAUAGAUAGCAAACAUAUAUCCGUCGAAGAGAAGAUAGCAAUAUUCUUAACUAUUAUAGGACAUAACGAGCGUUACGUCGUAAUCAAGAGAAGAUUUCAACAUUCUUUGCAGACAAUUCACAAGUAUUUUCACGAGGUUCUUGAGGCAAUGAUGAAUUUUGCAAAAGAGAUGAUAACACCUACAACAUUUGAUUCGAAUAUGAAUAUUCCUGGUGCUCAUAACAGGUUACGAAGAAUUUUUAAGGGAGAAAUAGGUGCACUAGACGGGACAUUAGUACAUGCUGUUGUUCCCGCUAAUCAACAAAUUGUUUACAGAGGAAAGGGAAAAGAUCUUGUGGAGCCAAAGACUUAAACUCGGAUUUGCGUAGAAAGCGGGCAAGGUACAGACGCUUAUUGUGGUGAUCCGCCAGUCUAGGGUGCCCUUUCUGCUUCUUUGGAGUGCUCCUUUGAUCCGGAGCCCACACUUUUGGUAUAUAUCUUUCUGUUGUACAUCUUCAUGUGUAUAUGACUAUUCAAGGGUACGGCGGGGCCCUGUCCCGCCAUAUGAUUCUGUUAUGUUUGUUAGAGGCCUGUAGACAUAUAUGUGGGUCAUGAGUCAUCAUUGUCCGGUUAUGUCUGUGAUUUGUGUCUAAGCGGUACUAUUUGCUAUGAUAGCCUUAAC